rnacentral:tRNA from 1 species
GUCUUCGUAGCUUACCAACUAAAGCAUGGCACUGAAGAUGCCAAGACGGCUGCCAUUUAUGCACCCGAGGACA